rnacentral:tRNA from 1 species
GCUUCGUUGGCCUAGGGGUUAGGGCACCCGGUUGUCAGCCGGGGGAUCGCCGGUUCGAAUCCGGUACGGAGCG